UACGUAGGGGGCAAGCGUUGUCCGGAAUCAUUGGGCGUAAAGAGCGUGUAGGCGGCCAGAUAAGUCCGCUGUGAAAUCUCGAGGCUCAACUUCGAGCUGUCGGUGGAAACUGUCUGGCUAGAGUCCGGAAGAGGAGAAUGGAAUUCCUGGUGUAGCGGUGAAAUGCGCAGAUAUCAGGAGGAACACCGGUGGCGAAGGCGGGACUCUGGGCCGAUACUGACGCUGAGGAGCGAAAGCGUGGGGAGCGAACAGG
rnacentral:rRNA from 1 species